GAUGAACGCUGGCGGCGUGCCUAAUACAUGCAAGUCGAGCGAACAGACGAGGAGCUUGCUCCUCUGACGUUAGCGGCGGACGGGUGAGUAACACGUGGAUAACCUACCUAUAAGACUGGGAUAACUUCGGGAAACCGGAGCUAAUACCGGAUAAUAUAUUGAACCGCAUGGUUCAAUAGUGAAAGACGGUUUUGCUGUCACUUAUAGAUUGAUCCGCGCCGCAUUAGCUAGUUGGUAAGGUAACGGCUUACCAAGGCAAAGAUGCGUAGCCGACCUGAGAGCGUGAUCGGCCACACAGGAACUGAGACACGGUACAGACUACUACGGGAGGCAGCAGUAGGGAAUCUUACGCAAUGGGCGAAAGCGUGACGGAGCAACGCCGCGUGAGUGAUGAAGGUCUUCGGAUCGUAAAACUCUGUUAUUAGGGAAGAACAAAUGUGUAAGUAACUAUGCACGUCUUGAAGGUACCUAAUCAGAAAGCCACGGCUAAAUACGUG
rnacentral:rRNA from 1 species